GACGAACGCUGGCGGCGUGCCUAAUACAUGCAAGUCGAGCGAGACUCUUCGGAGUCUAGCGGCGGACGGGUGAGUAACACGUGGGCAACCUGCCUGUAAGACUGGGAUAACACCGGGAAACCGGUGCUAAUACCGGAUAAUCCUUUUCCUCUCAUGAGGAAAAGCUGAAAGUCGGUUUCGGCUGACACUUACAGAUGGGCCCGCGGCGCAUUAGCUAGUUGGGGGGGUAACGGCGCACCAAGGCGACGAUGCGUAGCCGACCUGGGAGGGUGAUCGGCCACACUGGGACUGAGACACGGCCCAGACUCCUACGGGAGGCAGCAGUAGGGAAUCUUCCACAAUGGACGAAAGUCUGAUGGAGCAACGCCGCGUGAGCGAUGAAGGCCUUCGGGUCGUAAAGCUCUGUUGUUAGGGAAGAACAAGUACCGGAGUAACUGCCGGUACCUUGACGGUACCUAACCAGAAAGCCACGGCUAACUACGUGCCAGCCGCCGCCGUAAAAC
rnacentral:rRNA from 1 species